AACCUCCGCAAUGUGAGAAAUCGCGACGGGGGGAUCCCAAGUGCCAUUCUUAACGGGAUGGCUUUUCAUUAGCGUAAAGAGCUUUUGGAAUAAGAGCUGGACAAGACCGGUGCCAGCCGCCGCGGUAACACCGGCAGCUCUAGUGGUAACAAUUUUUAUUGGGCCUAAAGCGUCCGUAGCCGGUUUAAUAAGUCUCUGGUGAAAUCCUGCAGCUUAACUGUGGGAAUUGCUGGAGAUACUAUUAGACUUGAGACCGGGAGAGGUUAGGGGUACUCCCAGGGUAGAGGUGAAAUUCUGUAAUCCUGGGAGGACCGCCUGUUGCGAAGGCGUCUAACUGGAACGGUUCUGACGGUGAGGGACGAAAGUUAGGGGCGCGAACCGGAUUAGAUACCCGGGUAGUCCUAACUGUAAACGAUGCGGACUUGGUGUUGGGGUGGCUUUGAGCUGCUUCAGUGCCGAAGGGAAGCUGUUAAGUCCGCCGCCUGGGAAGUACGGUCGCAAGACUGAAACUUAAAGGAAUU
rnacentral:rRNA from 1 species